rnacentral:rRNA from 1 species
UGUGUAGUGAACUCCGGAUGUAUCUCUUAAAAGGUUAAGGGCACAAACGGAGACGUUCGGCUACUUCUGUCUGGGCAACCCGGCGUCCAAAAUGUGCUGGUCUCGGGGGGGUCCUGGGGAAACGAUCGCGGGCACUAUCCGACGCCCCCAAACUAGGGCCCAACUAUGACUCCAGCUUGGUACGCUGAACAGCGCCACAAACAAGUAGCGAAUGGGAAUGGUAUGUUUCAGUAGACAUAAUCGAAAGUGUGAAAGUCGCGGGUUCCAGGGCAGGUCACGCCCAGGCUCGUGCGGUACUACGCUGUAGAUAGGGCCUCUAUCCGACAGUCAAACCAUUUACGCAUAUUUAGUGAACCAUCCGUGAGUUCCUACACA